UUUAAUAAAAUUUGGAGCAGC
rnacentral:piRNA from 1 species